rnacentral:lncRNA from 1 species
GUGCUGGGGUUAAAGGUGUGCACUGCACACACACACCACCACUGGGCCUGGCUAAUUUCUAGCCAUACUACUUACUAGGAGGCAGAAACCCUGGGAGGUAACUAAGUCUCCCAGGAGACUUUCAAGAAUAGUAUUAGGAAAAUGGCUUGAGAGAGCUUGUCUACUUUGUAAGGAUCUGCUGGUGCCUUGAAAUCUUGGACUUCCCAGUCUCUAGAACCUUGAGAAAUGAAAUUCUAUUUAAAGAUUACUCAACCUAACGUAUCUUGUAUGAGCCACCCAAUGACUUGAAACAGGUACACUGAGCCCAAAUUAAGGAAGUGAUGUAAGAUAAGCUAUUUCUAGAACACUGAAUGCGGACCAGGACCCGAUCUCCAGGAAACUAGAGUGGCUCAUUAUGACAUUACUAGACCUUCAAGUAGGCUUGCUCUUGACUCUAGAUCCUCCAUUUCCCACAGGGGUUCUCCUCCUAGCUCUACAUGGGCACCAAUCUGCCUGUAUCUCCUUGGGAACUCUCUAGGGCUCCCAUUUGCUUGUGACCCUUCACAUUCUGAUGGGCACUCUUGACUUCUUAUCUCCCCUGACUUUUUAUCUGGCCCACUUUAGUCUCCCUCAUUAAAAAAAAAUUAAUCAAGAAAUGCCCCUCGCCAAAAAGCAGGCACCCCAAUUCCAAUGCCUGGUGGGACAAGGCAGGUCAUGAAAUGGACC